UCCUACAAACAUUUGAGACAAUCAUGAAGUGAACUGGAAAAACACAAUCAAUGAGUCUUAAAACCUCCAGAAAUUCAAUUCUGCACCUUGGCUCCCCUGGAAUCAUCAGCUCACCUGCACAAAGGAGCAACAGAGAGAGACAGUGUCCCUUUAAGAAGUAAUUCACAGGGGAAAACUGCAAAGAGGGAAGAAGAGGAGGUGUGUAUGCAUACGUGUACAUGUCAAACUGAUAGACACUUGGGUGAGAGAGGCAGAAGGAGAGGCUCAAAGGAAUGAGAAAUGAUGAAGAGAAAGAGAAAGACAGAGACACAACAUUGCAUUAGACUCUAAGAGCCAUCCCUUGCUUGCUAAAGGCUAAUGCAAUUGCCACACAAUGAGAGUGUCUCAGCGGAGGCUGUAAAAAGAACUAGAGAGGGGAAUGUAAGAGGAGAGGCGGAGAGGGAGGCAAGAACUGGAGGGAGGAGGGGGUAAGAAGGAGGACUGGCAGCUCUGCCUUCAGACUCUCAUAUGAAUCUCGUGGGACAAUGGUUAAGAGUCUCUCUGUGUCUGUACUGGAACUCUGGGCUGAGUGUGAGUGGCUGCUGUGUCUUCAGAGUCAUUCAUCAGGUUUGCUGGGAGGAGACACAGAGGGAGAGAAGGGGAGACGACUCUGGUAGCAAGCAGGAAGCACCAGCCAGCUGGAUGGGUGCGUUAACUCCACAUCUGACCUCUAUGGGAAGCACAGCAGCCUCCUCUGCUCUCCUCUCUUCUCCAGGCAAACUGUGGGAACAAGGGAGAACAGAGCUUUGUGUCUCCCUCUCUUCCUCCUCCUCCUUCUAUCCCAGCUCCUUGCUGGGCUGUGGAGCUCAGGGAACCAGGACUGGACAGAGCAGGACAUGACAGGACAAGACAGAUUUGGCGGUGAGACUUCAACCAGACACCCAAGCUCUGAGGACUGCACCGUUGAGUUUUGGAGCUGGGAUGACCCGUCUGGCUCAGUUGACCUGUCAGUCCGGUAGUUUUCUAGUCAGUGAUCAGCCAGUCAGACGGUCAGUUAGUCAGCCUGUUAAUCAGUCACAGGGACCCUUCCCAAACAAUUCCUCCAGUUUGGGAAUAUCCUCAUCUGAACUCGGAUGUGACUCAAGUUGAACUAGAAGAGGACCCGUGGGCACGGUCACAGGUGCUACACAGCUGCAGCAGAAGGAGAUCAUCUGGAGACCAAAUAAAAGAGAAGAGGAUGUAAUGGCGCAGAGGGCAGGGAAGGGCAGAGAGGUGUGGAUCCAGCCUCUUGUCUUGGCUGCGGUGGGGAGGGUUCCUGGCACCGUGAUUUGAUGCACAAAGAGAAACAAAAAUCACAUUGCCAGGGAUUUCCACUCCUUCGCAGCCCAGCAGGUACCCUGUCCCGUUCUUUCAGCUCCUCUGUGGCAAAGUGCCUCUUUGGCUUGUAGAUGAUUUAUGACUGUGGAUGUUGCCACAGAAAUCUUACUCGAUAAUCUGGACGCACUUCUAAAGAUGGUUUGUCUCUUAAAAAUGCCUGAAUGCCUGAGUCAGUGUGCAGCUGUUUGAAAUCGUAGCUGCUUUCUCUUUUCUCCCCUCUAAUUCACCAGGAAGUGAACGUGAAAGCGUACUGGAGCCACGCAGCUUUACGUGGUAGAACUAAUUUGUAGAGGUAUAUUUUUCAGCUCCGGGACUUUAGAUUUAAAAAAAAGGAAGUUAUUCAGAUAUACAAGACGAAGACUUGGAUCCUCCACAGGCCGCAUGCUCUGAGGCUCGCUGCAAGACCGGCAGGCUCUGAAACCCACUGACUUUACCACUGAGCACUCGCAUAAAGGUCUCCAUAAAUCUCUGCUUCCUCCAAAAGCCAGCCGCCUACUUGCUAAAGGCACAGAGCUUAGCUAAUUGGUGAGCAUUGAUCCCUGCUAUGUGUUGUUCACAGUGGCUAAGUUCAGUGCCUGAGGUGAAAUAGUAGAUUCAACGUCUGGGAUUUGUUCCAGUGAAUGGUCAGAACUUGAUGAUCUCGGAAAUGCAGAAAGACGAAGAAAAAGCAGAAGAGGAGAAGAGUGACCAGAGAUUAAGUGGAGAUGGAAUGAGGAGGAAAGGGAAUAAGGUCCCAGUCAGCGUUUACUUUGGGAUUUGUUGUUCUGAUUCUGUGGAAAUUAUCAUGCUGGUUUUUGUUAUGUGACAUCAGACAAUCUCUGUUUCCUAGAAACUAACACGUCAAGUCGGAAUCACCACAAAUACUCAUGACAACCUUUCAAUCUGUCCCUGUGACCCUGUUGAUUUGACAAUACCACAGGCUUUAUUGUAAUGCGAGGAAUGUGGUGCAACACUGUGUGACCUAAUUUGUUUUUAGUGUUGCUCAGGACAACUCCAGUGUUACACAGUAAGUCGUACAGUCAGACGCUAGCCUCCUCGCCCCCUUUUGAAAGAGAUAGUUUGGCCAUAUUUGAAUGUCUUUCUAUUUAAAAUGAAUAAUUUCCUGAACAGCCUCUGGUUGGAGAAAUAACUUUUACAACUGGCCGGGCCAUUGAGCUAAUGUCUAGUUCCAGUACAACCAAGACCAAAGUAGAUUUCUGCAAUCUCAAAACAGCUUCAGUCAGUCGGUUCAUACACACAUUAUAUUGAUGAAUCAAUUAUUUUACCACCUUUCAAUGAGCUCGACAUACGUGAGGCGACAUUGCCUCUCUUCCAUUCAUUUUCAAUGAGACAUGCGCGACAAAGCGAUAAUCGCGGGUCUCCCUCCUGCUAAGCGGCACGCAAAAAAACGUGCAUGUGAAAUUUUGUGAUCGAGCAUUCGCCACGUAGAGGCGAGCCAGUGAUGUGAUCCCAGAAAGUUGAGAAAUGUUCAACUUUUCCUCGCUGUCGCUCAGACAAGGGCCAAACAGCGGAGGCUUCGUUGACUGACCAAUGAGCGGACAGGAUGCUUCCCAGUACAGCUCCACGCAAACAUGGAGAAAAAGUUAAUACUUGCCAUGUCGGAUUUCCCAGAUCCUUACAACAUUUCUACAAAAGAGUAUAGAGAUCUUCCCAAAAGGCAGCAUGGGAAAUUGUUGGUGUCAGAAUCAAUACAUCAGGUAAGUUUUUACUGAUGCAAACAUUUUUGUAACUUAUCUAGUGCAAUAGCAAACCUGAAUAAAUGUCAUCUGUGUAUUAUAUAACUAUAUAACUGCUUUAAUAACCCAGAAUUCCCCCCAAUCUGGCAGCCAAUCAAAACAAUGGAAGGCUCGCUGACUUUGCCGCUGGCCGCUGCUGCAUGUCACCUCUCGUGUGUCAGGUUAUCAGAGCGACAGCGAUGAGUUUUGCCACUUGCAGCCUUCUGAUGUCUACCGUGUGACGAGCACAUGAUUCUGACAAAAUAGAAAAGCUUCAAACCAUAUCAAAUUGACAGGUCAGCGUGUCAUAUGGUUGUAAAUAAAGUGUAUGGUGAUAUGACUGGUAAAGUGGCCCAUCAGGGUGUCAUACGAUUGUUCUAAACAAAGUGUAUGAUAAUCUUAUGGCUAAACUGGCCCAACAACAUGACAUACAGCUUAAAAGGUGUAUGCCUGUCUGACAGACUUGUGCUGUCAGACAGGCAUAUGCUGUGUCAAUCUGACAAUGUAUGGAAAUGGGACAGAACAGAUUAAAAAAGAAAAAAAGAAAAAAGGUCAUUUCUCUCUAAAAAAUUUUUUGGGAGUCUGUUAAAGUGGUUUUCUGUCAUUCACAUAUCAGUUAUAUUUACAUUAUCUUUUAUGCGUUUGAAGACUGUUUUUUAUCCUUAAUAUUCAGUAGUUUUAGUGUUUUCCAGCCAGCAGAGAUCAUUGGGGGACAGGAAGAAGAAAAAAAAGGUGAAAGCUAAUUCUGAUGCUAGCGAUUUAGCAUGUUUAACCUGAUUCUUUUACAACUUGCAUUUAGACUUGCAGAUCAUGUGCUAGCAGCUGAUACACCUUAACAUUUCUUACAGAAAGCACAAACAUUAUCCACGGCUGCAUGUUACAGGAGUAAUGCGUGUCAAAUGAUUCCUGGGCUGCGCCCUCCUGUGCCUACUGAACUGGUAUCAGUGUUAAACCUGAAAACUGGCUCAGUUCAGCAGGAACAGGAGUGGAGCCCACUAACUUUGAAGACACAUCGUUACAGACUGAGCUUCACCAUGAGGCAGCCUAGCCCAGACUCACUGUUUCAGCUGUUAUGUUAAAUUGACCGCACCCAGAACAAAGCAGGAUAGGAUGCUUGCUUUGAGUCACUGACCUCCAACCUAACGAACUACAGCCCAGAUUACAGGACGAGGAAGUUGGGUUUGACUAAUAAGACUUGUAAAAAUAAAUGCUGCCAUGCUAUUCCGCCUACAAACACCUUUCUGUCUCUCCUUUUGUUCUUAACUGACAAAGGCCAGACUGAGACCGGAGCUCAAUGUGAGGUAAUCCAAAUAAAAUGUCUGCUAUGCUGGUGUAAUUGAUGUCACCCAGCCGUUCCCAUUCCCAGAGAUUGGAAAUGUGUGCAAAGCUACGUCCAUUCCACACGUCAGAUUCUUGUGGCCACAAAAGGAAAAGUGCUUUGUGGUCUACUCAGAGGAAAGUGGAACAUCAUGAUCAAGGCUGACGAAUCUGCUCUCAUCCAGCUCCUCCACUCUUGACGGCAGGGAUCACAAACAUUUAGUUCUGUUUGUGUCAGUAAAAAGUUUAAUUCAAAGCUGAAGGAGAUAAUCCAGAAAAAGGAGAGUGAGAUUGAGCUGCGACGACUUUAGGGCAUUGUUGAAACCCAUUUGUACGACUGUGAUUUAUGUACGCAUUCAAUCUGACAAAAUGUGUCAGACAACGGUGCAUAACAUCCAUUAUUCUAAAUGUCAGUGCUCUUUCAACACUGCUCAACAAUUUGAUGCAUGAUUUGCUCUCAUGUUUCAGGUGUAAUGAUCUUUUCAUUUCAGCUCUACAGCAGCCGUGAUUUUAAAUAAUAAAGCCUAAAUGAGCACAAGAAA